rfam:TPA: Bos taurus chromosome 21, whole genome shotgun sequence.
UCCCUUGUGGCUUGGCUGGUAAAGAAUCUGCCUGCAAUGCAGGAGACCUGGGUUCGAUCCCUGGGUUGGGAA